GGAUUUUCUGUGUAGACCUGGCUGUCCUAGAACUCACUAUGUAGACCAGGCUGGCCUCAAACUCAGAAAUCCUGCCUCUGCUUCCUGAGUGCUGCUGGGAUUAAAGAAAUGCAUCACUAUGCCUGGCUUUGUGUGUGUGUGGGGGGUUUGCCAUGGGUGUUUAGUCCCCUAGAACUGGAGUUACAGACAGUUGUAAGCUGCCUUUGAACCUGAGUCCUCUGGAAAAGCAGUCAGUGCUCUUAAACUCUGAGCCAUCUCACCAACCCCCAAUGCCUGGCUUCUUUAUUUUGCAAGUGUACAUGAUGAGAGGUUAUCGGAGCCACAGCACACAUGUUUAGGCCAGGGGACAAUUUAAAGAAGUUAAUUCUUUCCUUCGACCAUGUGCAUCUGAAAGACCCCGAAGAGGCACUUUCGUAGAGGGAGACCCACACACCCAGGAACCAGCGAGGCCACGAACUGGAUGUAAAAAAACAAGAGGCUUUAUUGGAGACGCAGGUACCUGGGGCGACUUAGCUUCUGUGUGGCUAAGCGCGCCCGCCCCAAGGGAAAGGCGUCCUUAUAUAGGGAAAAAGGCGCAAGCUAGGAGCAGGGAUUCUAUUUGAUGGUUCAAAUGAGGCACAGAGCCAUUCCAGAUCAGCAUAUUCUCAAGGUCUGGUGUCUGGUAUAACAGAUUUGAUUCCUCCCUCCGCGCCCAGGUGGCUGACCUUGGGGGCGGAGACCUUGGGACGGAGCGGUCCGGCGGGGGCCGGGGCCGGCCUUGCGCGGCGGCGGGGAAGUGCCGGCAGCUGUGGGUAUCAAGGGUCAGGGGGUGCAGGAGAGGAUGUAUUCGCCAGCUGCAUGCGGGAAAACUUAAAAGAGAAAGCUAAGGGCGGGGGUCUUUCAUUCCCCCAUUUCUCUUGUAACUGAAUGGAAUCUUUCAUUCAGAGGUCUCUGGUUAAGUCUUUCUCUAAGCUUGGCCAUGCUGUCUCUAACUAUUAAAAAUAAUAAAUCUAACCCUCGUCUGUUCUGCAGGACUACCUCAGAGAGUGAUGUUAAGGAUUUUUCGAGUGCACUGACUGACUCUUCUAGGACCUGGAUAUCCGUGUGCAUGGCUUGUUGUAGAAGCUUAAAAUGAUUAAUUCCCUGUAAGGCAAUGGUUCCGGUCCCUAUGCCGGCUGCUAUGGCCCCCCACUGUUAUCCCUCCUAAUAAUAGGGCCACGGUAAAGGAUAUUGGCUCCCUCUUAUGUCGGGUUGACUUCUCUAGUACCCUAUAAAUAUAUUCAGGUUGGUGAUAUGUGACCCUGGGCCAAAGUUC
rnacentral:lncRNA from 1 species